rnacentral:lncRNA from 1 species
AUUUGGAUUAGGAUUUGAUUAGGGUUUAGGGUUAGGAUUUGGUUAGGAUUUGAUUUAGGGUUUAGGGUUUGUUAAGAUUAGGAUAUGAUUUAGGAUUUGAUUUAGGAUUUGAUUUAGGAUUUAGAGUUUGGAUUAGGGUUUGGAUUAGAGUUUAGGGUUUGAUUUAAGAUUUGGUUAGGGAUUGGUUUAAGGUUUAGGGUUUGAUUAAGGUUUGAUUAGGGUUUGAUUUAGGAUUUAAGAUUUGUCUAGGGUUUGAUUAAAGUUGGAUUAGAAUUAGGGGUUGAUUAGAAUUUAAGAUUUUAUUAGAUUUUUGUUAGGAUUUGACUAAGUUUUUUUUAAUAUUCUUUUAUAUUUCUUUAGGAUUUCCUUGUAUUUCUUUUAUAACUUCAAUAAAAUUUAAUUGAGCUUGCUUAAUAUUUGAUUAUGAUUGUUA